GAAACUUAAAGGAAUUGGCGGGAGAGCACAGCAACGGGAGGAGCGUGCGGUUCAAUUGGGUUCAACGCCGGAAAACUCACCGGGAGCGACGAUUACAUGAAGGUCAGGCUGACGACCUUACCUGAUUUUUCGAGAGGUGGUGCAUGGCCGUCGUCAGUUCGUACCGUAAGGCGUUCUGUUAAGUCAGAUAACGAACGAGACCCUCGCCCUUAAUUGCCAGUUCAUUCUCCGGAGUGAGCGCACAUUAAGGGGACCGCUGGCGCUAAGUCAGAGGAAGGAGAGGUCAACGGUAGGUCAGUAUGCCCCGAAUCUCCCGGGCUACACGCGCGCUACAAAGGAUAGGACAAUGGGCUGCGACACCGAGAGGUGAAGCUAAUCCCGAAACCUAUUCGUAGUUCGGACUGAGGGCUGUAACUCGCCCUCACGAAGCUGGAUUCCGUAGUAAUCGCGGAUCAACAUCCCGCGGUGAAUAUGCCCCUGCUCUUUGCACACACCGCCCGUCAAACCACCCGAGUUGGGUCUGAGUGAAGGUGCUCUUUUUGGAGCGCUUGAACUUGGGUUCAGCAAGGAGGGCUAAGUCGUAACAA
rnacentral:rRNA from 1 species